ensembl:lncRNA
CCCCGCCCCUCGCUGCCCCGGCCCGGGCCCACGCUUAAGGCUGCGGCCGUCGUGCCCGGCCCCGACGUGGGUCUCCGCCCGCAGAGAGGGGCUACGACCGGCGCCCACGUGUCAGAGGGUAACGAAUGUAUGGCCACAGUGGCACCCCACCGGCCGACGGUUCUGUCGGACUGUACUCGGUGUUCGCGGAGCUGCCGAUGAGCUGGGGGGGCUGCGAGGCCCGUCCCGCCGCCGCCCCUUCGAGAACUUGAGCAAUAAUAAUAAGCACAUCAGAACCGCUUGUUUACUGCGGCGCUGCGCGGGCUGCGGGUCCGGGAUCGCUGCGGGAAACGGUGUAACCCGAAGGAAACACUGUAGAACGGGGGGAUAUGGCAGUGGAAGGGCGGAUCCGGCUCGCGAGGAGGGAGCUCGGUGAGCGCUUGGCUGGGACGUGCGCCCGUGCGUAAGGACCGCGCUCAGCCCCGCUGCGGCGACGCGGAUUUGCGCUGCUUCCGCCUCGUUCUUUGCCGUCCCGACGGAGCCCGACAGCCCCGUAUCCUCGAACAAAACCCGCGGGGUCGGCACCGAAAGGCCUCUUAGUGCUGCGCUCCGGGUCCCGCCGGGCGGGGCGGCGCGGGAGCGGUGCGCGGGGCUGAGCCCGGCGUGCGGAGUCCGGGGCCGCUGUGGGACCGCCUCGGGCAGAGGCGCGUCCCGAGGACGGGGCCGCGGUGUUCGCCCCGUGCUCUGCUCCAAAAAAAGCUUCGCUUCAAAAAAGAAACGCAGCCGUAAAUCAGCUCUUUGCGCUUCGUGGCCGAGCGUUAUCUCCGCGGUUUUUUUUUUUUUUUUUUUCUUUCCUCCCGAGAACUCCUAAUGGUAUUAAUUUGGCCAAAAAAACUUGAUCCCGGGCUGUCUGGAAUAAUCUCCCUUCUCCCUCCUCCCGAACAUUUCCAUAAUAACCGCGACUCGGGACCCCGCUCGGGCCGUGCGCCUCCCGCGCCCCGCGCAGCCCCGACGCGGGCUGCAUUCCCCGGGGGUGAUGGGAUGCAAUCCGCCGAGAGCCGACAGGCACGUCCUGGAUGUUAGGGACGCACUGCUCCUCAACGUGACAAGGCUGAGUUCGAUCUACAAUUGUAUUUGAAAGGGCAAUGAGCGGAAAGAUCUCCCGUCAUUAAAGCCUCCCUCUCCGCUCGCGCAAUAACGAGACCCUUCAUUUGCACACAAACGCUCGGGAAAAGAGCCGUAAAGUCCCGCACCGGCCCGACCGCGCCGCGGAGCGCCCGCGGGGAGGGGGCGGCGGUGCAGAGGGGUCCCAACGCGCCCAUGUGACCGCGGUGACUUUUUACUUUAAAUCUUGAAUAAGACGUGAGUUGUAACAAGGGGAUUUGCACUUACUCCGUGACCCCUGUAAUUGGAUUAAAUAUAGACCGAGACGUACAAAAACAGAGCGAGAUUGACACCUGCCAACUGGACUUCCUUAUGAUUGAUCGUGAUGCUUCGUGCCGGCAACAAUAAUGAAAUAAAUUGUAUGGAUAAAGGCGCGCAUUUGUCAUUUCCGCGCGGGGCGAGGGGAAGGCAGUGCGAGGCAAACUGCUCGCUGACAGACGGAGCGGCGCGCCGAGCUGCAGCGCCGCGCGCGGACCCCAGACGUUGACGAGACAAAUUAUAACUUGUCACAACCUCUUUAAAUUCAGAACUUUUCAAUUAACAUAUAGAUUGCCGCUGCACACGAGUCCGCGCGGACGGGCGGCGGCCGUCG